GAUGAACGCUGGCGGCGUGCUUAACACAUGCAAGUCGAACGGAAAGGCUCCUGCUUGCAGGGGUACUCGAGUGGCGAACGGGUGAGUAACACGUGGGUGAUCUGCCCUGCACUUCGGGAUAAGCCUGGGAAACUGGGUCUAAUACCGGAUAGGACGAUGGUUUGGAUGCCAUUGUGGAAAGUUUUUCGGUGUGGGAUGAGCUCGCGGCCUAUCGGCUUGUUGGUGGGGUAAUGGCCUACCAAGGCGUCGACGGGUAGCCGGCCUGAGAGGGUGUACGGCCACAUUGGGACUGAGAUACGGCCCAGACUCCUACGGGAGGCAGCAGUGGGGAAUAUUGCACAAUGGGCGCAAGCCUGAUGCAGCGACGCCGCGUGGGGGAUGACGGCCUUCGGGUUGUAAACUCCUUUCGCUAGGGACGAAGCGCAAGUGACGGUACCUGGAGAAGAAGCACCGGCUAACUACGUG
rnacentral:rRNA from 1 species